UACGGGGGGAGCAAGCGUUGUUCGGAUUUACUGGGCGUAAAGGGCGCGUAGGCGGUCAGCACAAGUCAGUUGUGAAAUCUCCGGGCUUAACUCGGAAAGGUCAACUGAUACUGCGCGACUAGAGUGCAGAAGGGGCAACUGGAAUUCUCGGUGUAGCGGUGAAAUGCGUAGAUAUCGAGAGGAACACCUGCGGCGAAGGCGGGUUGCUGGGCUGACACUGACGCUGAUGCGCGAAAGCCAGGGGAGCGAACGGG
rnacentral:rRNA from 1 species